CACGUAGGGGACGAGCGUUGUCCGGAUUCAUUGGGCGUAAAGGGUGCGCAGGCGGCCAAGUGUGUGAGGCGUGAAAGCCCGGGGCUUAACCCCGGAAUUGCACCUCAAACUACAUGGCUAGAGCAUUGGAGAGGGUAGCAGAAUUCAUGGUGUAGCAGUGAAAUGCGUAGAUAUCAUGAGGAAUACCAGAGGCGAAGGCGGCUACCUGGACAAUUGCUGACGCUCAGGCACGAAAGCGUGGGGAGCAAAAGGG
rnacentral:rRNA from 1 species